ensembl:ncRNA T26H2.13 ncRNA
UUGCACGAGAAAUGCGCCAAGGCACCAAGAGUGCGCCUAGGCACGAAAAUAGCGC